rnacentral:rRNA from 2 species
GCAUAUCAAUAAGCGGAGGAAAAGAAACUAACAAGGAUUCCCCUAGUAACUGCGAGUGAAGCGGGAAAAGCUCAAAUUUAAAAUCUGGUAGUCUUUGGCUGCCCGAGUUGUAGUCUGGAGAAGUGUCUUCCGCGCCGGACCGUGUACAAGUCUCUUGGAACAGAGCGUCAUAGAGGGUGAGAAUCCCGUCUUUGACACGGACUACCGGUGCUUUGUGAUGCGCUCUCAAAGAGUCGAGUUGUUUGGGAAUGCAGCUCAAAAUGGGUGGUAAAUUCCAUCUAAAGCUAAAUAUUGGCGAGAGACCGAUAGCGAACAAGUACCGUGAGGGAAAGAUGAAAAGCACUUUGGAAAGAGAGUUAAACAGUACGUGAAAUUGCUGAAAGGGAAACGCUUGAAGUCAGUCGCGUCGUCCAGAACUCAACCUGGCUUUUGCUGGGUGCACUUUCUGGUAGACGGGCCAACAUCAGUUUUGACUGCUGGAAAAAAGCCUUUGGAAUGUGGCACCUUCGGGUGUGUUAUAGCCUUGGGUUGUAUACAGUGGUGGGGACUGAGGACCGCAGCACGCCUUUAUGGCCGGGGUUCGCCCACGUACGUGCUUAGGAUGUUGGCGUAAUGGCUUUAAGCGACCCGUCUUGAAACACGGACCAAGGAGUCUAACAUGCCUGCGAGUGUUUGGGUGGCAAACCCGAGCGCGCAACGAAAGUGAAAGUUGGGAUCCCUGUCGUGGGGAGCACCGACGCCCAUACCAGACCUUCUGUGACGGAUAUGCGGUUGAGCAUGUAUGUUGGGACCCGAAAGAUGGUAAACUAUGCCUGAAUAGGGUGAAGCCAGAGGAAACUCUGGUGGAAGCUCGUAGCGAUUCUGACGUGCAAAUCGAUCGUCAAAUUUGGGUAUAGGGGCGAAAGACUAAUCGAACCAUCUAGUAGCU